rnacentral:rRNA from 1 species
UUAUGACCUCGCGUACACUGUGUCCAAUGGAACGUACACCGGGACCAAGACCCCGCGGCUUAGCCAAUCCCAUAAAACCAUUCUCAGUUCGGAUUGCAGGCUGCAACUCGCCUGCAUGAAGCCGGAAUCGCUAGUAAUCGCGGAUCAGCAUGCCGCGGUGAAUACGUUCCCGGGCCUUGUACACACCGCCCGUCACACCACGAGAGUUUGUAACACCCGAAGUCGGUGGGGUAACCGUAAGGAGCCAGCCGCCUAAGGUGGACAGAUGAUGGGGGGG